UACGGGGGGGAGCAAGCGUUGUUCGGAUUUACUGGGCGUAAAGGGCGCGUAGGCGGUCAGCACAAGUCAGUUGUGAAAUCUCCGGGCUUAACUCGGAAAGGUCAACUGAUACUGUGCGACUAGAGUGCAGAAGGGGCAACUGGAAUUCUCGGUGUAGCGGUGAAAUGCGUAGAUAUCGAGAGGAACACCUGCGGCGAAGGCGGGUGCUGGGCUGACACUGACGCUGAUGCGCGAAAGCCAGGGGAGCGAACGGG
rnacentral:rRNA from 1 species